rnacentral:tRNA from 1 species
GCCUUCGUGGUUUAGUAGUCAGCACGCUGGACUCGUAUUCGAGAGGUCCAUGGUUCGAGGUCCAGCGAGGGCA